UACGGAAGGCAGCAGUAGGGAAUCUUCCGCAAUGGACGAAAGUCUGACGGAGCAACGCCGCGUGAACGAUGAAGGCUUUCGGGUCGUAAAGUUCUGUUGUUAGGGAAGACAAGUACCGGAGUAACUGCCGGUACCUUGACGGUACCUAACCAGAAAGCCACGGCUAACUACGUGCCAGCAGCCGCGGUAAUACGUAGGUGGCAAGCGUUGUCCGGAAUUAUUGGGCGUAAAGCGCGCGCAGGCGGUCCUUUAAGUCUGAUGUGAAAGCCCACGGCUCAACCGUGGAGGGUCAUUGGGAAACUGGGGGACUUGAGUGCAGAAGAGGAGAGUGGAAUUCCACGUGUAGCGGUGAAAUGCGUAGAGAUGUGGAGGAACACCAGUGGCGAAGGCGACUCUCUGGUCUGUAACUGACGCUGAGGCGCGAAAGCGUGGGGAGCGGAACAGGGAUUAGGAUACC
rnacentral:rRNA from 1 species